UGCGGGGUGGAGCAGAGGUAGCUCGUUGGGCUCAUAACCCAAAGGUCAUCAGUUCGAAUCUGGUCCCCGCUA
rnacentral:tRNA from 2 species